AAUUGUUUUGUCACUAAUUUUGAAAGAAGAAUUUUAACAUAUUAAGCAGUGAUGAAAAAAAAUAGUCUAACCAAAAUUUUUUUCCGCUAUUAAAAAAUUUGAGGGGAAUUAUGCCGCCAAGUUAGUGACAAAAAAUUCCGUCUCCAUUAAAAAUAUUAUUAGUGAGGAUAAAUAUUUUGUCACCAAAUAUUUCAAUUUAUAAAACUACGUAGUUUUGUGUUUUGGAGACAAAUUCUAUUCCUCACCAAAUCCAUUCUCUUGACCCAAAUGAUCCAUUGCUCUCAUUUCACACGCAGAGGCAGACUGUAUAGCUUCAUCAAAGCUCUUCGUUUCUCUCUCUCGCACCAUUGUCCAACUCACAGCACCGUCCACGAAAUCCAGCCUUCAGGACAAUGUUUUCAACUCUGGGGAAAAUGUUCCUUUGGAAUUUUAUGCACCCUGGUGCGGUCAUUGCAAAAACUUGGCUCCAAUCUUGGAUGAAGUUGCUGUUUCAUUUGAAAGUGAUGCUGAUGUUGGCAUUGCAAAGAUUGUAAGAUCUAAAACCCAAACUAGCUAAAGACUACUUGAAGAGAUUUGUUGCUUUGUCAGUAUAGACGGUUAUUUUCUGCAAAUAUUGUGCACUUGAAUUAUGUUUCAAUAUUACUCUCAAAGUACCUUUCCUUUAAUGUUAUUUCUGCCUUGCAAAUUGAAAUUGUUUUCUUCCGUCAUUUCUAGGUUGCAGGUUCAUGUACUGUUCAUCUAUGGCUUCUAAAACUGAAGAGUAAAAUUCUUUUCCUUCAGGCUUUUACAACAAUAUAUAGUAAAAAUUGUUUUUAAUUAAUCUUAGCUUGAUAUUUUGGCUCAUCUAUGUUGGUUUAUUUCUCAUCCAUAUAUAGAAGCUUUUUGAUUAUUGAAAUUUUUUUGGGUGUGUAGUAUUUGCUCUCUCUCUCUUUGGUCCUAAAAGUUGUGGACAGAAUUGUACAACAUUGUUACUACACAUGAAUUAGCUCAAUCUCAGUUCUUUAUGCUCAACAUUAAUCCUCUUUCACUUUCCUUCAUUUCUUUUGCUCUCCUCUCUCUCUCUC